rnacentral:rRNA from 1 species
UGAGGAAUAUUGGACAAUGGGUGAGAGCCUGAUCCAGCCAUCCCGCGUGAAGGACGACGGCCCUAUGGGUUGUAAACUUCUUUUGUACAGGGAUAAACCUACCCUCGUGAGGGUAGCUGAAGGUACUGUACGAAUAAGCACCGGCUAACUCCGUGCCAGCAGCCGCGGUAAUACGGAGGGUGCAAGCGUUAUCCGGAUUUAUUGGGUUUAAAGGGGUCCGUAGGCGGAUCUGUAAGUCAGUGGUGAAAUCUCACAGCUUAACUGUGAAACUGCCAUUGAUACUGCAGGUCUUGAGUAAAUUUGAAGUGGCUGGAAUAAGUAGUGUAGCGGUGAAAUGCAUAGAUAUUACUUAGAACACCAAUUGCGAAGGCAGGUCACUAAGAUUUAACUGACGCUGAUGGACGAAAGCGUGGGGGGCGAACAGGAUUAGAUACCCUGGUAGUCCACGCCGUAAACGAUGCUAACUCGUUUUUGGGUUUUUCGGAUUCAGAGACUAAGCGAAAGUGAUAAGUUAGCCACCUGGGGAGUACGUUCGCAAGAAUGAAACUUAAAUGAAUUGACGGGGGUCAUAGCUGUUUUU